GUAGGGAAUCUUGCGCAAUGGGCGAAAGCCUGACGCAGCCAUGCCGCGUGAAUGAUGAAGGUCUUAGGAUUGUAAAAUUCUUUCACCGGGGACGAUAAUGACGGUACCCGGAGAAGAAGCCCCGGCUAACUUCGUGCCAGCAGCCGCGGUAAUACGAAGGGGGCUAGCGUUGCUCGGAAUUACUGGGCGUAAAGGGAGCGUAGGCGGAUAGUUUAGUCAGAGGUGAAAGCCCAGGGCUCAACCUUGGAAUUGCCUUUGAUACUGGAUAUCUUGAGUAUGGAAGAGGUAUGUGGAACUCCGAGUGUAGAGGUGAAAUUCGUAGAUAUUCGGAAGAACACCAGUGGCGAAGGCGACAUACUGGUCCAUUACUGACGCUGAGGCUCGAAAGCGUGGGGAGCAAACAGGAUUAGAUACCCCUGUAGUCC
rnacentral:rRNA from 1 species